UUAUAUGUGACAUGUCUUCUCUCAAUUUGUAGCUUUUUACCUUCUUUACCAUGUCUUUUGAUGAAUACAGGCUUUUGAUUUCAUUCUAGUCAAAUUCAUCACACUUCUUUUUUAUAGUGAGGUUUUUUUUUUGGUGUCCAGUGUUUAAGAAAUCCUCCCCUACCCCCAAGAUCUAAAUAUAUUUACCCAUAUUUUCUCCUAACAAUUUUCAGGUUUUUGCUUUUGACAUUUGAAUCUCUAAUCCAUCUGGAGUUGAUUUGCAUGUCUGAUGUGAGUUUAGGAUCUGACUUACUUUUCACAUGGAUAAUCAUUUUUUUCUGUUCCAUUUAUUGAGUCCCUUGUAAAUAAUCUAGGAGAUGCAAAUCAAGACCAUAACGAGAUAUUACUUUACAUCCAUUCGAUUGACAAAAAUUAAGACAUCUGGCAAUACCAAGUUCUGAAGAGGGCAGAUCAAUAGGAUGUCUUACACGUUGCUGGUGAGAGUAGAAAUUACUACAACUGCUUUGGGAAACAGUCUGGCAUUGUUUUGCAAAGUUGGAUUUCAUAUACCCUGCCAUCAUCCCACAUUCCAUUCCUAGGUAUAAACCGUGGACAACUCCAGCAGGUGCGCACCAGGAGAGAGAACCGCAUAUGUGAAUCUCCACUGCAGCUCUCUAUUACAGCAAGAAAUGUGAAAGCCUAAACUCCAGUGUUCAGGAGACCAGAUAGGGAAUGGACUGUGGCCACUCAGGAAUAUAUUGGCACCAGCUCUCCGAAGAAUCUCUGAGGCAUGCUGAUUUUCAGAGAUAAUUGAAGGUGCUGGAUGUGCAGCCGGCCCCCACCACCUCUGUCUCCACGUAAGGUUGAAAGCAGGUCAGCUCUUUGUUCAUGGAUGGAAACACUCAGAACAUGAAGUAUCAUUUAAACCUCCCUCAUAUAAUAAAUUUCCAUCCUCCUUCUA